AAAAAGAUGAAGAAGAAGAAGAAGAAGAAGAAGAAGAAGAAGAAGAAGAAGAAGAAGAAGAAGAAGAAAAGAAAGAGUUUAAUUUUGUCAGUGACAAGAGACGAGACAUUUAAGAAAUUCGUCUCGACAUAUUAAGUGGAACACUAACUUUCCAUUUGUAAUUGGAUCAUCAGUAUCAUUUUUCAACAUGAAACCGGAAUAAUCCCAUAGUUCGAAGUCAUCAUCGGGAACGGUAUUACCGUUGAUUGCACUAGCACCACUAGGACCGCCACCACUAGGACCGCUGCCAGAAGCACCACCGACAGAACCGCCAUUUCUACUACCACUGCCGAUAUAUUUUGACUUCUCGUUCAAUUCUAAUCUAGCAUUCUCAGAAACUGUCUGUGACAAGUGACGGUAAAUUUUUAUUUGACAACUAUCACAAAAACAUUCAAAAUGAAACGAAAACGGAGAAAUCCUUACGUAAUUGUACAUACGGAUAAUUUGUGCUUAAUAAGAGGUGUUCUGCUCUUACGAUGUGGUAACAAAACGACUACAUCUUGAUCUUUGCCUUGUUCUUUCCUAUACUUUGUAUAAGAUUUAACUGUGGAAGCAGUGGCUUUAUUUGUGGAAGAAGCUGCGUGACGUACCGAAUCUUCAUCAUUGUUUGAACAUUUCGAAUAUGCGAUAUUCCUUACAUUAUUAUUUCCACCGUAUGAAACGUUGUGCGUGUUGUUUACCUUUCGAAUCAAAUUUCAUACGACAAAAUUACUAUAUACAUAUAUUAUCGAGCACUCGUAUCAACUUGUAUUUACUAUCGCUCAUGAAAGUUUUGAGAUUCACUUGCGCACAACAAUUGACUGACUGUAGUAUUAUUGAUACGUAUAGAAACAGUCGAAAUGGUGAUUUACAUAUACAAUUUUUUUCGCUCCUCGACAUCGAUUUCAAUUUAAAGAAAUAAUUUAAAAUUAAUUGAAAUAAAUAAUUUAAAGUGCCACAGAAAUAUAUAUAAUAUGCAAUUUAAUGAAUAUGGAGUACAAACAGAAAUGAGAGCGCGAUUAAAUAAAUCAAAUUUAUUCGAAUUUGACACACUCGUAAGUUUGUUACUUAAUUGUUACUUAACUGUACUAAACUUACUUGUACUAAUAUGUGACAAGCUUGAGAUGCAAUUUGAAAGAGACCAUCUUGUAAGUUACGUCCACCGUGUUCGGUAUUUUCAGAACGAUUGCUCCCUUUCCAAGCGAAGAAAGACAUUCCGAUGCAUCUACUAUAAUUCAAGAAGAGUAUUUUUGUAAGAAGAAACUUGGAAAACUAUGCGCGUGAAAUAUAAUUAAAAUCUUUCGUGGAAAUAAAAGUAAAUAAAAGCAAAUGAAAAAAUAAUUAAUAACGAGGAAUUAUUUAAUAAAACGAAACGAACAAAUAGAUUUUACUAUACUUGUAACAAUCUCGUUUGGUCGUAACAAAAAAUACACACUAUCUAUCUCGUGCUUUCUUCGUUAAAGGUAUAAACAGUGAAUUGUUAUUACCUACUAAGUAAACAUUUUCUUGCGGAUCGAAACAUGCGAAGAAAUAAAAACGAAUAAAGGAAAGAUUUAAGCCGGGAUUUAAACAGAAGGUUUGAAAUUAUUUAAAAGGGAAAUUGGCGUGUGUCUGUACGUGUAAAAACAAUUCAGUGUCCAAUGUGGAAGCACAUCAAGUCCAAAUUGGAUAAAACAUACCGUGAUGGAAGAAAUUUUUGGUAACAUUUGCACACGUGCAACGUUCUAAACGUUGCGACCGUCGACCUACCUACCAACGUAUUUUACGAAACGACGUGUCGAUCGAAAAGUCGUAUUUGCUGCGCGAUGGACUUGCGCUCAAGAGCUUUCUGUGACCUACAUACAUACAUACUUGGUCAUCAAAACUUUCAAAACGGUACUCUUUUACUACAUUGCCGCCAACUAUUUCUUUAUCCGCGUGUCUUCAUUAAAUUCGAUACGCUCAUAUGCACAAUUGAUGAAUCGCACAAUAUAUGUGCGUUCCCUGUGUGCUAUACAUGAUAAUAGCAACAUUAGGAAGUUCAGAAAUGCUACAAGGAAAAAAAGAAUAAUAAAAAUGCAGAUAAUCUCCGGUACAAUUGUAUAAUUAUAUAACAAUAUGCAAUAAUAUACAAAUUAUACAAUUAUAUAUAUAAAAUUCUUUAUCUAUCGAUACGUAAGUAUGUGUUAUGUUUGUGUGAUUAUCGAUAUUUCACUCGUACAUAUAAUGUCCGACCACCAACAAUACUUAAGUAUGGCAAUGUAAAAUCACGUACGUCACGUACAUCAGGAGAUGUAAUA